GAUGAACGCUGGCGGCGUGCCUAAUACAUGCAAGUCGAGCGAACGGACGAGAAGCUUGCUUCUCUGAUGUUAGCGGCGGACGGGUGAGUAACACGUGGAUAACCUACCUAUAAGACUGGGAUAACUUCGGGAAACCGGAGCUAAUACCGGAUAAUAUUUUGAACCGCAUGGUUCAAAAGUGAAAGACGGUCUUGCUGUCACUUAUAGAUGGAUCCGCGCUGCAUUAGCUAGUUGGUAAGGUAACGGCUUACCAAGGCAACGAUGCAUAGCCGACCUGAGAGGGUGAUCGGCCACACUAGAACUGAGACACGGUCCAGACUACUACGGGAGGCAGCAGUAGGGAAUCUUCCGCAAUGGGCGAAAGCCUGACGGAGCAACGCCGCGUGAGUGAUGAAGGUCUUCGGAUCGUAAAACUCUGUUAUUAGGGAAGAACAUAUGUGUAAGUAACUGUGCACAUCUUGACGGUACCUAAUCAGAAAGCCACGGCUAACUACGUG
rnacentral:rRNA from 1 species